CUCUCUAUCCAAACGUUUCACACUCCUCAACCUUGCAUAUCCUGAACUAGGAAGCAAAUUACACUGCCUGAAGUAAAGGAACCCAGUAAUUACUCUCUUACUGCCUCAACUAAUCUACCUCAAAUCUCUGUACCUUCCAAGAAAGGAAGUCUGAAACUCCUUCUCUCUAUCCAAACGUUUCACACUCCUCAACCUUGCAUAUCCUGAACUAGGAAGCAAAUUACACUGCCUGAAGUAAAGGAACCCAGUAAUUACUCUCUUACUGCCUCAACUAAUCUACCUCAAAUCUCUGUACCUUCCAAGAAAGGAAGUCUGAAACUCCUUCUCUCUAUCCAAACGUUUCACACUCCUCAACCUUGCAUAUCCUGAACUAGGAAGCAAAUUACACUGCCUGAAGUAAAGGAACCCAGUAAUUACUCUCUUACUGCCUCAACUAAUCUACCUCAAAUCUCUGUACCUUCCAAGAAAGGAAGUCUGAAACUCCUUCUCUCUAUCCAAACGUUUCACACUCCUCAACCUUGCAUAUCCUGAACUAGGAAGCAAAUUACACUGCCUGAAGUAAAGGAACCCAGUAAUUACUCUCUUACUGCCUCAACUAAUCUACCUCAAAUCUCUGUACCUUCCAAGAAAGGAAGUCUGAAACUCCUUCUCUCUAUCCAAACGUUUCACACUCCUCAACCUUGCAUAUCCUGAACUAGGAAGCAAAUUACACUGCCUGAAGUAAAGGAACCCAGUAAUUACUCUCUUACUGCCUCAACUAAUCUACCU